rnacentral:rRNA from 1 species
ACUCCUACGGGAGGCAGCAGUGGGGAAUAUUGGACAAUGGCGCAAGCCUGAUCCAGCCAUGCCGCGUGAGUGAUGAAGGCCUUAGGGUUGUAAAGCUCUUUCGCUUAGGGAAGAUAAUGACGGUACCUAGUAAAGAAGCCCCGGCUAACUUNGUUGCCAGCAGCCGCGGUAAUACGAAGGGGCUAACGUUGUUCGGAUUU